rnacentral:lncRNA from 1 species
AUUGUACUUUGGUAUUAUUAUUAUUAUUGUUGUUAUUAUUAUUAUUGAGAUGGAGUCUUGCUCUCUGUCACCCAGGCUAGAGUCAUUGGCACGAUCUUGGCUCACUGCAACCUCCACCUCCUGGUUCAAGGGAUUCUCUUGCCUCAGCCUCCCAAGUAGCUGGGACUACAGGUGCCUGUCACCACUCCCAGGACUUCCAGUGCUGUGUUGCAUAGAAGUGGUGAAAGUGAUCAUCGCUGUUUUGUGCCAGUUCUCAGGGGGAAUGCGUUCAACCAUUCCCGAUUCAGUAUAAUGUUGGGCUGCGGGCUUGUCAUAGACGA